CACCGCCCGUCACACCAUGGGAGUGGGGUUCACCAGAAGCAGGUUGCCUAACCGCAUGGAGGGCGCUUACCACGGUGAGCUUCAUGACUGGGGUG
rnacentral:rRNA from 1 species